ensembl:lncRNA
CUUCUACAGUGUUCUUGAUAUGUUCCAUUCUAAUGUUCCAUGGGGGGAAACCACUAACGUUUCCCCGUGCAGUGGAAUUUCUGCUCCAUGAAAAUCACAGCUAGGAAAUGUUGAAACUCAUUUCUCCAUCCGUGCUUUCCAGUCGUGUCACCAACACAUGCUGGAAGGAGGCUUGGCGAGGCCAUCAAGCAGACACAGGGAUGAAGAGGUUUGUGUGCUGCUGCAUCUUUUGUUCUGUUGAUUUUCUUGGCUGAAGGCAGUGGACUGCAGGACAGGAUGUUCGCAGCAAAACAGCCAGAGCAGGAGGACACAGUUUGCUCAAGCAAGAGGUUUCUAUGCCCACACUGUUACUCAGUUUCAGUUGCUACCAGAAAACUCAACUAUGUCUGUGAGCUCAGAAAGCACUACAGAUGGUCUCUGUUUUGGGAACUGUAACCUCAAGUGUAAUGUGUGCUAGCUGAUCUCGAGCAAUCUUAUUGCUUAUGGCUGUGAAUGAAGAACAACGUGCUUUCAAAUCCCACACAAACCACGGUGUGUACUAACUCUCAAGAGCCAUCUGCAAGAUCCAGAGCCUUGGACUUGGCAGUGGAGCCUCCUGUGAAUAACUGGUCCAAGCCAGGAGUGGAGAUUUUCUGGUCGUACUUUUAUGUUCCUAAUAUUUCUAUGAAAAACUGGCAUGAUUCUGACAUGUAUCCCGUACUCGUAUCCCUCAACUGGUGAUGAUAAACCUUCAAGAGCAGAAUGAAAUAGUGAUGACUGCUGUAACUGUUGCACAGCCAAGUGGUAAGAACCAAUAUUUUUAGCUAUGUUUAAGUUGUCAGGCAUUCACUUGGUCUGGCAAUAUUUUCAACAUCUCCUUUUGUAAGUAACUGGGAAAGUUACUGUGUAUUUAUAAGCCAGCCAACUAUUAAUAUAUCAAACAAAAUUAUAUACUUUUCACUUAAGAAAAACAUACAUAUUGAACAUGCUUUAGUGAACUCUGACUGGGGCAUUAUUUGUGCUAGAAACAAUUACUAUUUAGUUUUGUAACAGCUGGAUAUUGCCAGACUGUUGGAAAGUAUUGAAAAUAUUGUGUUGGAUGAAGAACAGAAUUAGUGGGGGAUAAAUACCUAAGCUAAUAUUGACACCUAAGUUGAUGCCAUUUGAGCCUUUGGUACUACAUCCUACAAUUAGACAUUACACUCACAUACUUGUUAGUCUCGUGUUUAAACAAGGUAUCUUCUAUACGAAGCUGUAUAUAUACUGUUCACAGUAGGGAAACACAAGGCAGUAGUCAGCAAACAGCAUUUAUACCUUAGAGCCUGUGGGGCCUUUAGGACCAUAUAACGUGUACCUGUUCUCUAAGUUACUGACUGCUUACAGCCAAAGCGUUCUGAUGCUGCUAAGUUUAAUGUGAUCAGUAGCAGAAAUAGCAACCUGAAAAUCAACCAUAAAGCAUUGCCUGUGGAAAAAGAUGGUGCACGCAUCACCCAGCGCUGAGCCCGGCACUACAUAUUUGCCUUUGGUUCAUUGACAAUUUCUGGAGGCCAAUUUUGGUGCUGUUGCAUUAGCAGGAUAUCUUUUUAAGCAGAAUAAAUGCUGCUGUUCUUCACA